rnacentral:rRNA from 1 species
UAUGUGAUCGUCUCUUGCAUAUCAAUAAGCGGAGGAAAAGAAACUAACAAGGAUUCCCCUAGUAACGGCGAGUGAAGCGGGAAGAGCUCAAAUUUGAAAUCUUAAAGGGUUUCCCUUUACGAAUUGUAGUUUAAAGAAGUGUUUUCUGUUGAGGUUUUGGUAAAAGUUCUUUGGAAUAGGACAUCAUAGAGGGUGAGAAUCCCGUAUUUGACCUUUACUUUCAACUUUGUGAUACACUUUCAAAGAGUCGGAUUGUUUGGGAAUGCAGUCCAAAAUGGGUGGUAAAUUUCAUCUAAAGCUAAAUAUUGGCGAGAGACCGAUAGCGAACAGGUACCGUGAGGGAAAGAUGAAAAGAACUUUGAAAAGAGAGUUAAACAGUACGUGAAAUUGUCAAAAGGGAAGCGUUUGACACCAGUGUUGUUUUUCUGAAAAUCAAUUAAAGAACUGUUUAUGCUAAGCUGUUUAGACUUUAUCAGCUAUCUGUUUAGUUUUGAGCUUCUCUUUAAUGCACUUUUCAGUUAACAAGUCAACAUCAAUUUCUUUUGCUGUAAAAAAGCUUGAGGAAGGUGGCUUGAGAUUCGUCUUAAGUGUUUAUAGCCUCUUGCCUAUGCAGUCGGAGAGAUUGAGGUCUGCAGCGUAGAUCCUUCGGGGCUAAAUGCAUUUGUGCUAAGUUAUAGCAUUUUAUAGACAACUUGUUGACUAUGAUUUGUCUUGUAGCUUACUCGCUUAUGUUAUUUUACCUACGCUUAGGAUGUUGAAGAUAUGCGCGACACG